rnacentral:ncRNA from 1 species
UUGAAAAAGGCAAACUAUUCGAAAGGGUAGGACGCAAAGCAAUAGGGUCUACGGUUUCGUUCUAUGUAAACUAAGAUAGCCUGGCUACCAA